rnacentral:rRNA from 1 species
UACGGGGGGGGCAAGCGUUGUUCGGAAUUACUGGGCGUAAAGGGCUCGUAGGCGGCCAACUAAGUCGGACGUGAAAUCCCCAGGCUCAACCUGGGAACUGCGUCCGAUACUGGAUGGCUUGAAUCCGGGAGAGGGAUGCAGAAUUCCAGGUGUGGCGGUGAAAUGCGUAGAUAUCUGGAGGAAUACCGGUGGCGAAGGCGGCAUCCUGGACCGGCAUUGACGCUGAGGAGCGAAAGCCAGGGGAGCAAACGGG